rnacentral:lncRNA from 1 species
CUUCAAUGCCUUUCUCCAUAUCCAUAAAAUCAUAUGUAAACACUCAUGUUAUUUAUUGUUGGUGUUUUAUAAAAAUGGAUCAACUUAUAUUCUCUGCAUCUCACUAUUCUCACUUAGUAGUACAUUAUGGAAAUAGCUCCAAGUCAGCCAAUAUCAUAACAGAUUCUUUUAAUAAUGUUAAUAGACUUAAUUUUUUGGAGCAGUUUUAGGUUUUCAGAAAAAUUGAGUGGAAAGUACAGAGUUCCAUAUAUACAUGCCCCCUCCCGACCCCCAAGUUUCCUGUUACUAACAUUUUGCCUUCGUGUGAUAAUGUUAAAAUUGAUAAGCUGAUAUCAAUACAUUAUCAUUAACUUUAUUAUUAAAAACUAUACAUUACUGUAUACUUUCUAUUAGGGUUCAUUCUUUGUGUUGUAUAUUCUAUGAGUUUUGACAAAUGUGUAAUGACAUGCAUCCACCAUUACAGUAUCAAACGGAACAGUGUCACUGCCCUAAAAAUCCCCUGUGCUCUACCUCUCAUCUCUCCCCCACCCCCUAACCCUUGGCAACCACAGAUCUUGUUAUUGUCUCCAUAAUUUUGCCUUCUCAAAAAUAUCAUAUAGUUGGAAUCAUAUAGUAUGUAGCCUUUUCACAUUGGCUUCUUUCACUUAGCAGUAGGCAUUUAAGGUUCCUCCAUAUCUUUGUGUGUGUGUGUGUGUGUGUGUGUGUGUGUGCUUUUUAGGGAUGCACCCACGGCAUAUGGAAGUUCCCAGGCUAGGGGUCAAAUUGGAGUUGUAGCCGCUGGCCUACACCACAGCCACAGCAAUGCCAGAUCCGAGCUGCAUCUGAGACCUACACCACAGCUCAUGGCAACAUCAGAAUCUUAGGGUUCCUCCAUAUCUUGAUAGCUCAUUUCUUUUUGGUGCUAAAUAAUAUUCCAUUGUAUGGAUUUAUCAUACUUUGUUUAUCCAUUUACCUAUUGAAAAACAUCUUGGUUGCUUUCAAGUUUUGUCAGUUAUGAAUAAAUUCACUGUAAAUAUUCUUAUACAGGUUCUGGUGUAGUAGACAUAGUUUUCAGCUUCUAUGGGCAAAUACCAUGGAGCACUACUGCUGGAUCAUAUGGUGAGAGUAUUUUUAGUUUUAUAAGAAACUGCCCAACUGUGUUCCAAAGUGGCUGUAGCAUUUCACCUUCCCACCAGCAGUGAAUGAGUUCCUGUUGACUCAUCCUUGUCAGAAUUUGGUUUUGUUGGUGUUUUAGAUUUUGGCUAUUCUAGUAGAUACAAAAUGGUAUCUCUCUCUCUCUUUUUCUUUUACUUUUUAGGGUUGCGCCUCUGCAGCUCCAAUUUGACCCCUGGGCUGUGGCUUUAUAAAAAAAAAAGAAAAAGAAAAAGAAAAAGAAAGAAAGAAAAGAAAAGAGAAUCAAGGAACCAAGAGGGGAGAGAAUAUGGAGAAGGCAGGGAUAAUUUGCUGAACUACUGGCUUUGUUGGGCAUAGGGGUGGGAGGGCAGAAGUCAGUGACCGUGGGUUAGGUGGUCAGGAAGUGCAGACCAGAAUGAAUUCUGUCUCUUUCAACAAGGUUGGCUGGAACAGAAAGGAAAUAGGGCAAUAGGUAAGUUCAAAAGGGAGGUGGUUUUUUGGUUUGUUUGUAUUUUGUCUGCACCUGCGACAUGCAAAAGUUCCCUGGCCAGGGCUCGAAUCUGCGCCACAGCAGUAAAAAUGCAGGAUCCUUAACUUCUAGGCCACCGGGGAACUCUAAAAGGGAGAUAGAUUUUAAAGAUUGGAGUGUCAUGGAAAUAUAUAUACUCUGGAGGGAGAAGAUAUGGGGGAUGUUAGAGAAAAGCUGUCCAUUUAAAUUUGCACUACUUUGUCAUUUUGCAUGUGGAUUCUUAUCAUCAUGACUACCCAUCAUCCUCUUUUGCUUUUUUAUUUUUUUAAUUAUAUAUUUAUUUAUUUAUUUAAUGACCACACCCAUGGGAUAUGGAAGUUGCUGGGCCAGGGAUUGACUGAGCCACAGCUGUGGCAAGGCUGGAUCCUUUAACACACUGAACUGGGUUGGGGAUUGAACUCAUGCCUCCACAGAAACUUGAGCUGCUGCAGUCAGAUUCUUAACCCACUGUGCCAUAGCAGGAACUCCCUCUUUUGCUUUUUGAAUUCAUGGUUAUUUUCCUGCGUUAUUUUCCUUCCUUCCUCCCUCCCUCUCUCUGUCCUUUGAUCCUUCACUCUUUCNNNNNNNNNNNNNNNNNNNNNNNNNNNNNNNCCCCCUCUUUUUCUCUCCUCCUCUCUCCCCUUUUGAGCUUUUUGACAACUUGUCUGUUAAUGGGUUUCUUACCAUCCUGUUCUUUUGGAU